rnacentral:misc_RNA from 1 species
CUGCGAGUUCGCGGGAGAGUAGGUUAUUGCCAGGGUUUUUAUUUUUAUACUUUAAACUUUGAUUUUAUUUUUAUGUUUUUUAAAUAUUGGUGUUUUUGAAUGUGUUGUUUAAAUAACAUAAAAAAUAAAAUAUAUAUUGACAUGUAUUAAACAAAGAUAUAUAUUAUUUUAUGUUGUAUAAAUAAAUUGGCAAAAUAAAGAUGGAAAAAAAAAAUAUGGGCAAAGUAAUAAAAGUCUAUGGUGAAUGCCUAGGA